UGGGGAAAAGGUGGGAAAGGGGUUUAAACCGGAAUGAGGCGGAUCGCACGCCCACCAAUUGAAAAAUUUUUCGGUUUGGGAUGGCUCCCCGCCCUUCAGUUUGUGGCGAGGUAAGGCUCCCCAAGGCGUCGACGGGUAGCCGCUUGGGAGGGGGCCGGCCACAUUGGGAUUGAGCCACGCCUCAGAUUCUUACGGGAGGCAGCAGUGGGAAUAUUGCACAAUGGGCGAAAGCCUGAUGCAGCAACGCCGCGUGAGGGAUGACGGCCUUGGGGUUGUAAACCUUGCUCUGUGGGGAAGAGGCGAACGGGUGAGUAACACGAGAACAACCUGCCCCUGACUCUGGGCCAGCAGCCGCGGUAAUACGUAGGGCGCAAGCGUUAUCCGGAAUUAUUGGGCGUAAAGAGCUCGUAGGCGGUUUGUCGCGUCUGCUGUGAAAUCCCGAGGCUCAACCUCGGGUCUGCAGUGGGUACGGGCAGACUAGAGUGCGGUAGGGGAGAUUGGAAUUCCUGGAGUAGCGCUGGAAACGGCGUAUAUCAGGAGGAACACCGAUGGCGAAGGCAGAUCUCUGGGCCAAUACUGGAUAUGAGCUGCGAAAGCGUGGGCAGCAAACAGGCUUAGAUACCCUGGUAGUCCACCCCGUAAACAGUUGGAACGAUUUGUGGGGUCCAUUCCACGGAUUCCGUGACGCAGCUAACGCAUUAAGUUUUCGGUCUGGGGAGUACGGCCGCAAGGCUAAAACUCAAAGGAAUUGACGGGGACCCGCACAAGCGGCGGAGCAUGCGGAUUAAUUCGAUGCAACGCGAAGAACCUUACCAAGGCUUGACAUAUACGAGAACGGGCCAGAAAUGGUCAACUCUUUGGACACUCGUUAACAGGUGGUGCAUGGUUGUCGUCAGCUCGUGUCGUGAGAUGUUGGGUUAAGUCCCGCAACGAGCGCAACCCUCGUUCUAUGUUGCCAGCACGUAAUGGUGGGAACUCAUGGGAUACUGCCGGGGUCAACUCGGAGGAAGGUGGGGAUGACGUCAUAUCAUCUUGCUGCUUAUGUCUUGGGCUUCACGCAUGCUACAAUGGCCGGUACAAAGGGCGUCAAUACCGCGAGGUGGAGCGAAUCCCAAAAAGCCGGUCCCAGUUCGGAUUGAGGUCUGCAACUCGACCUCAUGAAGUCGGAGUCGCUAGUAAUGGCAGAUCAGCAACGCUGCGGUGAAUACGUUCCCGGGUCUUGUACACACCGCCCGUCAAGUCAUGAAAGUCGGUAACUCGUGUAGCCCCGGUCCUCAUCUCCUUCGCUGCAUCUCCUCUCCUUUACUUUGACUC
rnacentral:rRNA from 1 species